UGAGUGAAAGUGGUGUAUUCUCAAGUGCUC
rnacentral:piRNA from 1 species